UGAGGUCAUAUGGGUGGGACCUAAUCCAAUAUGACUUUAUAAGAAGAGACGUCUAGGACACAGGGACCACACAGACCAAUGGAGGAAAACAUGAACACACAGUGAGGAAGUGGCCAUCUACAAGCCAAGGAGAGAGGCCACAGAAGAAACCAAACCUGCUGACAUCUUGAUGUUGGACUCCAGAACUGCUAAUGCCAUAAUGCUAAGCCAAAGGCCCAGGAGAAGGGAUGACCAUGGAACCCUUAAGAAAAAGGAUGGAAAGAAGGGAACUCUCUACACGGAGGUACUCACUGAGGAACUAAACAAGGCAUGGUUGUGCUCGACUGAAUGAAGGUUUGCUUUCCAAACCUUGGAAAGCAAGAGUGAGUAAAAAUGACUAGAGGAGGCUUUUCCAGUUGCCCACUCAAAGUGGAAUCUGUGAUUUGGUUACAGUUAGUGAAAAACAUUUUUAGACAAUACCAUCAUGUAUCUUCAAAGUUAACAAUAAAAGGACUACACUUCCACA